rnacentral:rRNA from 1 species
UACGCCCGAUCUCGUCCGAUCUCAGAAGCUAAGCAGAGUUGGGCUUGGUUAGUACUUGGAUGGGAGACUGCUUGGGAAUACCAGGUGCCGUAAGCCU